CUUCAGCAACUCACAUGGCAUAGUCCCGCUUUCUCUCCCUGCCACUGCUCCUCUUGUCCCGCCAUAGAGUCAUCUGCCGGCUCCUCUCCCAGCCUUGGUGUCAGCCAUCGCUUCCUCUCCCUGCCACUACGUAGUGGCUGGUGGACCACGCCCGACCGAGGGAAGAAACAACGACGCCGUAGGUAACAGGCAUACACACAGUCGGUGGGCGCCUGAAACAAUGCCAUCAAACAUGCAUGAGCAACGACCUCGAUCAUGCCUCCCUAUGUGCAACCAGAAUGUGGAGCCCAGGAGCAAGAUGACACCACCGACGAUUACUACUACACCGAGGGUGCCUUCCACUACGUGGAGGCCGCCGACGACCAGGAGCAGUUAGGAGGCUCCCAGGCAGGAGGCCUUGCCUUUUCGAUCGUUGUUGCUUUUGUGCUAGCCUUC